rnacentral:lncRNA from 1 species
GAUAGCUGAAACUGGAAAUAUUGGUUUUGCUAUGCAAGCAAUGCAUCAGAGUAAAUCAAUGAAAUUAAGAAAUGUGGCUCAGUCUCUGGUGGCAGAGAAGAAUUAUACUUCUGAACAUUUGAGGAAACGAUUUUGAAGUACUCAGCGAAAUGGUGCUCUGAUGCUCACUGAAAAUUCAGCAAAUAAUACCAAAUUCGGAUGUUGAU